rnacentral:rRNA from 1 species
GCGUAAAGCGUGCGCAGGCGGUUUUGUAAGACAGGCGUGAAAUCCCCGGGCUCAACCUGGGAACUGCGCUUGUGACUGCAAAGCUAGAGUACGGCAGAGGGGGGUGGAAUUCCACGUGUAGCAGUGAAAUGCGUAGAGAUGUGGAGGAACACCAAUGGCGAAGGCAGCCCCCUGGGUCGAUACUUGACGCUCAUGCACGAAAGCGUGGGUAGCAAACAGGAUUAGAUACCCUGGUAGUCCACGCCCUAAACGAUGUCAACUAGGUGUUGGGUGGGUAAAGCCAUUUAGUACCGGAGCUAACGCGUGAAGUUGACCGCCUGGGGAGUACGGCCGCAAGGUUAAAACUCAAAGGAAUUGACGGGGACCCGCACAAGCGGUGGAUGAUGUGGAUUAAUUCGAUGCAACGCGAAAAACCUUACCUACCCUUGACAUGUCCAGAAGCCCGAAGAGAUUUGGGUGUGCCCGAAAGGGAGCUGGAACACAGGUGCUACAUGGCUUGUCGUCAGCUCGUGUCG